ACAACCCCAGCUCAAAAAUUAUGCUUCUCUUUCUCCACUGUCAGUCCAAAAUGUGUCAAGGUAUGUGAAAAUAAAGUUUGGUCCGGUGGUCCAAAGCCAGGUAGUCAGCCAAUAUAUUAUAGGAAAGAACUUUAAACCACUCUGUUGAGCAUAGAAAAAAAAAAGCAAAUUACACUCAGAAAAUCCCAAUUGUGCUCUGCUAGGGUUUGUAAAACAAAGGGAGGCAAAACAAUGAACAACGCCAACCACUUCGCCUCACCAUGUGCGUAAACCACCAUUUGCUGCCACCGCUCCGGCACACAACCACUUUUCAGCCUCUCCAAACACGCCGCUUGCGACAAGAUCUCAACUGUUCCAACAACCUUGCCAUCACCGCUUCAGCCACCGUCAAACGCUCCGAAUGCACCCACGCUUUCAUUGCAGAGUCUACGACGGUCGCGGAGCAGCUCAAGAAGGAGAGCAGUGGCUUGACGGAUCUGAAAUUUCAUUUUAAUUGGUUCUCAAAUUCUCCUCUUUUUUUAUUUCUCUUGAUGUUUUUGUUAUGGUUAUGAAAUUUCAUUUUAAUUCUUGUUAAAUUUGGUUCUCAAAUUCUCCUCUUCUUUUAUUCCUUUUGAUGUUUUUGUUAUGGUUCUGAAAUUUCAAUUUUUUUUUUUGUCAAUAUUGGUUCUGGAACUUUUCCUAUGUAAAGAUGAUAACAUGCUUUGGACUUACAGUAACUCGUGUUGGACUUGCAAUUCUGUGA